rnacentral:tRNA from 1 species
GUCCCGUUGGUCAAGUGGCCUAAGACUCCACCCUCUCACGGUGGCAACGGGGGUUCGACUCCCCCACGGGAUACCA